rnacentral:rRNA from 1 species
UACGGGGGGUGCGAGCGUUGUCCGGAAUCACUGGGCGUAAAGGGCGCGUAGGCGGUUUGUUAAGUGGGAUGUGAAAUCCCCGGGCUUAACCUGGGAAUUGCAUUUCAAACUGGCCGACUAGAGUACGGUAGAGGGAGGUAGAAUUUCCUGUGUAGCGGUGAAAUGCGUAGAUAUAGGAAGGAAUACCAGUGGCGAAGGCGGCCUCCUGGAUCGAUACUGACGCUGAGGCGCGAAAGCGUGGGGAGCAAACAGG